CAGGUGGGUGCUAGCCUCAUCAAGGCUAGCACAUGACCCUAGGAGGACCCUGGGAUUCUCUGAGGGGGCAGAGCAGCCUCCAUUUUAACCCAGGCCCUCAGAAAGAGAGGGAGCAGUCUGCGCUGAGGAGGCCAGGAGACAACAUCAGGCUGAGCUGCUCCUGGACUAUCUUGGUGGUGGGUUGGUGCAGUUAAAGCAGAAACUGGAUCCAGCCCCAGAGAGAAGCAGCAGCAAGUAGCUACAUGGGAGAGAAGUGCCUUCAGAGCCCCUGAAUAUAUUUGGUGUUAGAAAGCUGUAUUGGCUGAACUAAGCUUUUUCGUUCCACUCAGUGAGACUCCGCUGCAUGGUUUGUCCUGGAGCUAUGACAGGAUUUCCCACAGUCCAUGCUGCUUGCUCCCAGGAGACCCUUCCUGCAAUGUCAGGCCAUUACUCCUUGCUCUUUCAAGUGCCUCCUCAAAGCUUACAUGUUCUGCAACACCACUGAUAAAAAUAUCAGCCACAAUGACAUUUUAUUAGCUAUUAAAGGUACUUCAGACUUCUUUAUUCUAUCAAUCCAGACAUCAUUAUAUUAUUGGCACCUCAAUGUACUUACUGGUACAACUGCUACUCAUUCUUUUCUAUACACUUUCAUAUUGUCUUGUUAUGAUUGUUAUAUUGUGUUUGGUUAGGCCUAAUUCUAAGACUUGUGCAUAGAUCAUUUUUAGGAACCUUGCAACAAGCUUCAGUACAGCAAUAAGCAUUCUGAGGUUACUGGCAUAAAAUAAAAUAUACUAUUGAUAAUCUGAGUCUUGUGGCUGGCCCCAUCUCUACUCUACCUCAGAUAAAUAGAAUCUGUGUGCCCCAGAGACAUGCAUCGACUAUCACAAAACUUAAAUGGAGAUGACUCCACAACUGUGACAACAGGAAAUGAGAAAAGGGAAUCCCUAUCAAUAUUGUGAUACACCAUGAGAAAUGCAACAGGUCUUUACGUGCCAGACAGGUGAAAACGUAGGUAAAAAGUGUAAUUGGCAUCAAUGGUUUCCUUUUUCCUGAAAUGCGUUUCAGCUGUGCUGUGUAGCACAGUGUUUGUGGAGAAGGUUUAUAUACUGUGACAAAUUCUGGUUACCGCCUUAAGGGUGCUCAUCUCUCAUGGAAACUCAUUUCACAUCUCAUCAGUUACAGCAAUGAGUUGGGGAAACUGAUUUCUUGUUUUCUGAGGUAAGAACAUGAUGGGUGGAUGGCAAAGACUCAGUCCUAGCAGAAUAAAGAAUUGAAAUGAGAUCAUUAAGCGGAUUUUUUUUUAACCUCAAUGGGCUGACCCUAUGCCAUCUUCAAUUUUAGAAUACCUAUCUCUUUCCAGAACAACAAGCAAUUGGUGCAGCGGCAACUGAGCUUCCUUUUAAAUACACCAUAGCAAGUUAGAUAAAAGCAGACAUAGGCAUUUGAUUGAAGUAUGCUGUAUUCAUUUUCAUUAAAGCAUAUCGCUUUGUUUACUCUUU